rnacentral:rRNA from 1 species
UACGAAGGGGGCUAGCGGUGUUCGGAAUCACUGGGCGUAAAGCGAACGUAGGCGGAUUUGUUAGUCAGGGGUGAAAUCCCGGGGCUCAACCUCGGAACUGCCUUUGAUACUGCAGAUCUCGAGUCCGUAAGAGGUCAGUGGAAUUCCUAGUGUAGAGGUGAAAUUCGUAGAUAUUAGGAAGAACACCAGUGGCGAAGGCGGCUCACUGGUCCGGUACUGACGAUGAGGUGCGAAAGCGUGGGGAGCAAACAGG